UGAGCAAUCUGCCCUUCACAUCGGAAUAACCAUUGGAAACGAUGGCUAAUACCGAAUAUGACUUCGGAUCGCAUGAUCUGAAGUGGAAAGCUCCGGCGGUGAAGGAUGAGCUCGCGGCCUAUCAGCUUGUUGGUGAGGUAAUAGCUCACCAAGGCGAUGACGGGUAGCCGGCCUGAGAGGNACGGCACACGCGGACU
rnacentral:rRNA from 1 species